rnacentral:rRNA from 1 species
CGAGGCGAACCGGGGAAACUGAAACAUCUCAGUACCCCGAGGAAAAGAAAUCAACCGAGAUUCCCCCAGUAGCGGCGAGCGAACAGGGAGCAGCCCAGAGUCAACAUCAAUAUUUACCGCAGGAGAAGGGUCUGGAAAGGCCGGCAAUAAAGGGUGAUAGCCCCGUAUCUGAAGCGGUAAGUAUUGUGAACUCGAAGAGUAAGGCGGGACACGUGUUAUCCUGUCUGAAUAUGGGGGGACCAUCCUCCAAGGCUAAAUACUCCUGACUGACCGAUAGUGAACCAGUACCGUAAGGGAAAGGCGAAAAGAACCCCGGCGAGGGGAGUGAAAUAGAACCUGAAACCGUGUACGUACAAGCAGUAGGAGCACCCGAAAAGGUGUGACUGCGUACCUUUUGUAUAAUGGGUCAGCGACUUAUAUUCUGUAGCAAGGUUAACCGCAUAGGGGAGCCGUAGGGAAACCGAGUCUUAACUGGGCGUUAAGUUGCAGGGUAUAGACCCGAAACCCGGUGAUCUAGCCAUGGGCAGGUUGAAG